UUUAUCGGAGAGUUUGAUCCUGGCUCAGGACGAACGCUGGCGGCGUGCCUAAUACAUGCAAGUCGAGCGGACAGAUGGGAGCUUGCUCCCUGAUGUUAGCGGCGGACGGGUGAGUAACACGUGGGUAACCUGCCUGUAAGACUGGGAUAACUCCGGGAAAC
rnacentral:rRNA from 1 species